CAGUCGCCGCGGUAAAACGAAGGGGGCUAGCGUUGCUCGGAAUGACUGGGCGUAAAGGGCGCGUAGGCGGCGGCCAAAGUCAGACGUGAAAUUCCUGGGCUCAACCUGGGGGCUGCGUUUGAUACUUGGUUGCUUGAGUGGGGAAGAGGGUCGUGGAAUUCCCAGUGUAGAGGUGAAAUUCGUAGAUAUUGGGAAGAACACCAGUGGCGAAGGCGGCUAACUGGUCCAUAACUGACGCUGAGGUGCGAAAGCGUGGGGAGCAAACAGGAUUAGAUACCCGAGUAGUCCCUGUCUCUUAUAC
rnacentral:rRNA from 1 species